rnacentral:lncRNA from 1 species
CACCAGAGCUGCAACAAUGAGGGAUCCGAGCCAUGUCUGCAACCUACACCAUAGCUCAUGGCAACACUGGAUCCUUAACCCACCGAGCGAGGCCAGGGAUGGGACCCGCAACCUCAUGGUUCCUAGUUGGAUUCAUUUCCCCUAUGCCAAGAUGGGAACUCCAGAUAGCUCAAGUUUUAACGUUCAACAGAAUCUGGCAUACUCAUUCAUCAGAUUAGUUUUAUUUCAAUUUGAAACAUACUGAAUAGCUCAAUUUAAGAGUAAAUUGAAAAGUUUAAGGACAUUUUAUUCAAUGAUUUUUUUUUUUUUUUUUUNUUUUUUUUUUUUUGCUUUUUCAGGGCUGCACCCACAGCAUAUGGAGGUUCCCAGGGUAAAAGUUGACUUGGAGCUGUAGCUGCCAGCCUACACCACAGCCACAGCAACACCAGAUCUGAGCCACAUCUGCAACCUACACCACAGCUCACGGCAACGCUGGAUCCUUAACCCACUGAGUGAGGCCAGGGAUCGAACCUGCCACCUCAUGGUUUCUUGUCCCAUUCUUUACCACUGAGCCAUGAUGGGAACUGUUAUUUUAAAAAUCUCUUUUCUCCUGUUGCUUACCCCAGAGGCUGGCUCCUCCUCAACAAACACGUCUGCUACGAGCAGAGGGCUAUGAUGAAAGAUUUGUGGACUGGAUUUCUGCUUUACCCGUUGCUCUCAUCAGCUACCAUCACAGCACGCACGUGUGAAGCGUAAACACAAACAGCUUGGAGGACACGUUCCCCCGCCGCGGGGCAAAGGCAGGGCCAUCUGUGGGCUCCCUGCCCAGCUGUGUGUUUGGGUGAUUCCGGGCCACACCCGAGAUGGGAGCCGGUGAGGGGUGGUCUCGGAGGAUGGAGCUGGAGGAGCGGAGACGGUCACUUCUCGAGUGCCAGUGGCAAGUACUAAGCAGCUACCCUUGUCACUGUGCCUUCAGAGACUGGAAGAACGACCGAGAGAAUGACUUCGGCUGGUAGUCACAGCCCCUCUGCGCUCCCUGAAAACCCUCAGGGCCUCCCACCACCCUCAGGACGAGACCUGUCUGCUCACAGCCCAACAGGGCCCGAGACCUGGGCCUCCUCCGCCAGCCCGGCUUCCUCUUGCUCGUCGUCGUCGUUGGGCGUCCAGGUUUUGUCUGCAUUGCGGGCUUGUGCUCCAGCCUUCAGCUCUCGGCACCCUCUGCCUCCCCCGGCUGGCCUCCCCCAGCACAGCGCGGUGCUGCCCACCCUCCAUACGGCUCGUUCUUCUUGGCUGAAAAGCACCGACUUGGGGGUUCACCUGGGUCCUGUGGGCCAGGGCUCCUGGUGCAGCUCCAGCUCCAUGGUUCUGAUUUGGGGAUUCUCUUGAGGUUGCAGGGAAGGUGUUGGCUGGGGCUGCGCCACUCGAAGGCUUGACCGGGGCUGGAGGAUCCGAGAUGCUGCACUCACUGCCCACGUUGGUGCGGCCGGCUGUGGGCAGGAGCCUCGGUUCCUCCCCACGGGGACCUCUGCCCGCAGAGCCACUAGAGUGUCCUCACAGCCCGGCAGCCGGCUUUCCCCAGAGCAAAUGACCCGAGACAGGGCAGCGGGCCUCCAGUCUCAGGCCAUCACUCCCUCAACACCCGGUUGGUUACACAGGUCCGCCCUCCUCACAGUGAGAGAGGACUGUGGAAGUCCGUCCCCACUUGGAGGGACCAGGACUUUCCGCGUCUGUGAGGGUUCAAUGAACGAAGCGUAACAACUAUCCCAUAGAUGUGACAUGCGGAUUUCAAGGACUUGGGCUGAAUGCAGCUGUGGGAGCUGGUUAAACUGUCCCUGUGUCAUCUUUUUCUUCUUCUUUCUUUUUAGGGCUGCACCUGUGGCACAUGGAAGUUCCCAAGCUAGGGGCUGAAUCAGAGCUGCAGCUGCCAGGCUCUGCCAGUCACAGUAAUGCAGGAGCUGAGUCACCUUUGCGACCUAUGCCACAGCUUGCAACAAUGCUGGAUCCUUAACCUACUGAGAGAGGCCAGGGUUGAACCCGCAUCCUCAUAGACAUUAGUCAGGUUCUUAGCCCACAGAGCCACAAUGGGAAGUCCCCCCGCCUUUUUUCUUUUUAGGGCCACACUUACGGCAUAUGGACGUUCCCAGGCUUGGGGCCAAAUUACAGCCGUAGCCGCCGGCCUCUGCCACAGCAAGGCAGGAUCCCAGCCACACCUUCGACCUACACCACAGCUCAUGGCAACACCGGAUCCUUAACCCACUGAUCGAGGCCAGGGUCAAACUCGCAUCCUCGUGGAUACCAGUCCGGUUUGUAACCUGCUGAGCCACAGUGGGAACUCCCUCCUCUACACCUGUUAGCCUCUUCCGCUCUAGAACUUCAGGGAUUGGGGCCUGGAAUUUCAGAACUUACUGGUAAAAAGAAUCAGAAGAGAAUUCAGACCCCAGGUGUCAUUUCCAGGUAAAGAAACUGAAGCCCUGAAGACCAGGCGCUAUGGGUGGCCCAGGGCAAGGCGGAGCCAAGGCAGACCUCCCUCCAGCCUCGCUCCUGAGGACACCAGCUCCUGGCCCAGGCCCUUUCCAGGGCUCCGUGCCAGCCUGGCAUGUAGUCCUGCUCAGACCCCAUUCAUUUGGGCUCCUCCUCAACCCCACAGGCAGCCUUCUACCUGCCCCUCCUGCCAGCGUCAGGAGUCUCCCAGCUCCCGUUGCCUCUGGAAACCUCCUGAACAAGAGCAGAGAUGCCCAGAUGGCUUUUGGUGGAGGGCCUUGCCCUGUCCAGGGCACCUACAGGGAACAAUGUAUUGAGAAAAGCAGACGUGACCCCAGCGGGCCCCAAGGCUGCUCCCCUUUCUUCCUGAUCCCUUAGGAGCCAGGCCUUAAGGCUGGCUGCUCCACAGAACCACCUGAGAGUGAGUUUAAACUUAAAUUUUUUAAAAAGGGCAAGGACCUGCCCCCAGACCCAUUCGGUCAGAAAUUCUAGGGUAGGGCCCAGAAGUGGGAAUUUUUCAAAAGUUCCCCAGAUAACUAACUCCUCUCAGGCUGAAAACUAUUAACGGUUCUAUUUGCAGCCAUGCUGCUUAAGAACAAAGCACAGCCGAGCCUGAGCUGCAAAAGGGAGCACAAAGGCCUCUCCCGCGGCUCAGACACCGUCCACCUGUGGACACCACUUACGCCAUUUGACUUGGCAAAUGCCUUUUGUACAGUGGGACACGGUGACAAUAACUCAGGUCCUUGAAGAGUUCUGGAGGGAUCCCCUGUGGACAGAAACUGCCUUUAUGGCCCGCACGACACUGUAAAUUCUACUUAAGCUGAAGCUAGAUUUUAGUUUCCUCCCUGGCCCUGAAUUAUUUACUCCUCACACAAUGGACGGUCAAACCCAGGAGGUGGUGGCGACUGCGUGCGGUGCGCGUUGGUCGGCAGUGACUUUAAAAAUCACUGCUCCGGCGGCCGAGGUGAAGAACGCCACACCUGCAAUGGCCAUCGCAGAGCACUCGCCCCCUCAUCAGGUCCUGUGUCAGGUUCCUCGGGCCCCAUGACUCCACAGCCACCACUUUACCCUGGUGGGUGGGUG